GGAAGGGAGGAAGAAGGGAGUGUGCUUUUGUGUGCUUCUGGGACUCCAGGUAAGAGCAGAGUUGACCCGCUGCCAGGAGCAUCACAGAUUUCCUUUCUGCUGAACAACUGUCAGUCUCUCUCAGAGCCGUCUGAUCGCAGAGAGUGGAGUGGACUUCUUCAAAUGGGGGGGAAAGUUUGUGCAGAGCAGGAGGACACAUCAGAAGUCUAUGGAAAUGCAGGAUCUAGCCAGUCCUCACAGCAGAGUAAGUGGAAGCAGUGAAUCUCCUAAUGGUCCCAACCUCGACAACUCCCACAUCAAUAACAAUUCCAUGACACCCAAUGGCACUGAAGGUGAUAACAUCACAAUGCUUACCACUGCAGACUGGUUGUUAGGGUCUAACUCACAGUCCGCUGCAGGU